rnacentral:rRNA from 1 species
AUACGGAGGAUCCGAGCGUUAUCCGGAUUUAUUGGGUUUAAAGGGUGCGCAGGCGGCCAUUUAAGUCAGCGGUUAAAUCGUGGGGCUCAACCCCAUUCUGCCGUUGAUACUGGGUGGCUUGAUUGCGGUCGAGGUUGGCGGAAUUCGUUGUGUAGCGGUGAAAUGCAUAGAUAUGACGAAGAACACCGAUUGCGUAGGCAGCUGACCAGACCGCAAGUGACGCUCAUGCACGAAAGUGCGGGGAUCGAACAGGAUUAGAUACCCUGGUAGUCCGCACAGUAAACGAUGAAUACUUGUUUUCGGCGAUAUAAUGUCGGAGGCAAAGCGAAAGCGAUAAGUAUUCCACCUGGGGAGUACGCCGGCAACGGUGAAACUCAAAUGAAUUGGCGGGG